GGUCAGACGCUGCUUCUGGCUGCCCGCUUAUGUGAUCUGGGAGCCCGGGCUGACCAGCUGCUGAUGCCCAGCAGGGCUCCAGAAUAAACAGCCACAUUUCUCUCCAGAUCAUCCCAUCCUCCCAGGGGACAGGGAAGGAGAAUGGCUGCAGAGCAGGUGACCUUUCAGGAGAUGGCUGUGUAUUUUACUGAGCAUCCGUGAGCUCUGCAAGACCUGGCUUAGCAACACCUGUACAGGAACGCCACACAGGAGAAUUGUUAUACCAUGACCUCACUGCGUACGGAUUCCUGUCACCUUGAGUAUUGGAAGUUGGGAGAGACGUUUAGCUUCUGCUUGGGCAUCUUCACUGGUCCCCCAUAUUUCAGCAAGAGUUGUGGCAGCAGCAACAGCAUCUCCUCCAGCAGCAACAGCAGCUUCAGCAGUGGUGGAGGAAAUAGGUCAAGGAUGAGGAAGAAGAGCACCCAGCAACUGCUUUUACAGGAGCUGUUUCUGGAGCAGCUCCUCACUAUACAACUCCAUUUCUGGACUUGGGUAACCAUCAUCAGUUGGUGGAAACGGGUCAUCCCAGGUCUGCAGAAUGAUCAGUAGUGGUGAGAGAAUUUCAGGAUGGCAAAGACACCGUUUUCGAGAUCUGUGCUGAACUAGCCCUAGAGCUGCAGUGUACCGACAUGUAGUUCCCUGUCCCUCGGGAGAAGUCGAUCACCAUUGCCACCUGGAAGUUGGCCACCCCUGAAUAUUACUGGUCCAUGGCCAACCAGUUCAGCAUAGAGAGAUUGACUGUAUUGUCCAGGGGCUGAAGAACAUGGCUGGGUUGUGGUUUAGAGCACUGCAUUAUCUGCUGCCUGUAGCAAUAAGAAAAAUGUACAUUUAUCACACUCAUAAUGUGUAUUGAUGAUCACAUACCUACAAUGUAUUGAUUAUCACAGGUUCUUUCUCAAAAAUUUACUACAGAGACGUUUCUCU